UACAUAAAUGCAAAUUAGACAAGCACAUAAUAUGAACAACUACAGUGCAUCGGUUAGAAUAAACUUUUAGAGCAUACAGUGUGGAACUUUAUGUAAUUUUUUCAUUUAUAAUUUCUUUUACUGAAUUUCAAAAAUACAAAACAAUUCACUAUGUCCUCAAGACAUUUAAGAGUAAAUCCACGUAAGGAUGCAAUCAUAUAAAAAUAAAUAAAAGUAAAUGAAAAGUAAAAGGCAACGCAAUCAUUUUUACUAUUCAUUUAGCUGUGCUGAUGACAUCAGCUGGCGUCAUGCAGUUGAUUUCAGUUUCAUAUAGGAAGGGUUUUUCCUGGAAUCCUUUUUUGGAAAAUAGCUUACAUGCUUAUCUACUCACGCUAACUGUUUCAGAGAAAAACUUUUGCAGUGAUGAGUUUCAGAGGUCGAGAUGCUGGUUCAGAGAUGUAACAGAAAACCUUAACCUCAUUCAAGAAGUAAGAGGAGAUUUAGUGCUUUUGCAGAAGGCACCGGUUCUCAGGAGGAACAAAUAACAUCUAAAUCAUCAUUAUUCAUGGUAAGAUAGUAAAUACUCCAACAUAUAUAAAGACAAACUUUUACAAAGGAAUAGACAGAAGUCUUAAUCUCAGAUUAAGGGUGCGGUGCUGAGCUCAUUGCUGUGGAUGAUGUCAGCAUACUUAAUAGCUAUGCACACAGUGAUUGGCUGAUAGGGGAGGGCUCUCUGUCAGAGAUUCUUUCAUAGAAAUUCUGUAGAGUGUGAUAUUAUGUUUCCAUUUUCAAAUAAAGGUUUAAAAAUAAAAAGUGUUAAUUGCCA
ensembl:lncRNA